UACGGGGGGGGCAAGCGUUGUUCGGAAUUACUGGGCGUAAAGGGCUCGUAGGCGGCCAACUAAGUCGGAUGUGAAAUCCCCAGGCUUAACCUGGGAACUGCAUCCGAUACUGGAUGGCUUGAAUCCGGGAGAGGGAUGCAGAAUUCCAGGUGUAGCGGUGAAAUGCGUAGAUAUCUGGAGGAAUACCGGUGGCGAAGGCGGCAUCCUGGACCGGCAUUGACGCUGAGGAGCGAAGGCUAGGGGAGCAAACGGG
rnacentral:rRNA from 1 species